rfam:Sorghum bicolor cultivar BTx623 chromosome 8, whole genome shotgun sequence.
UCGUAACACGAACCGGUGCUAAAGGGUCCUGCCCAACAGCUACUGACAGGUGCUGUCGGGGCAGGGACCCUUUAGCACCGGUCCGUGUUACCAA